GCCGCCGCGGUAACACCGGCAGCUCUAGUGGUAACAAUUUUUAUUGGGCCUAAAGCGUCCGUAGCCGGUUUAAUAAGUCUCUGGUGAAAUCCUGUAGCUUAACUGUGGGAAUUGCUGGAGAUACUAUUAGACUUGAGACCGGGAGAGGUUAGAGGUACUCCCAGGGUAGAGGUGAAAUUCUGUAAUCCUGGGAGGACCGCCUGUUGCGAAGGCGUCUAACUGGAACGGUUCUGACGGUGAGGGACGAAAGUUAGGGGCGCGAACCGGAUUAGAUACCCC
rnacentral:rRNA from 1 species